AUAAUUACCUGUCAGGAGAAAUACUGUGAUUAUGGAGGUGGUUUUUCCCUGUGUGUGGCUUAUUCGUUGCACUUUGUGCUGAUCCCUACGAUUUCCCCAAAUGUGGGUAACUACAGUGUAUAAUUUGUGGUAGCGGGAGAUUGCGUUCGCACUUGCUGCUG
ensembl:snRNA RNU1-108P RNA, U1 small nuclear 108, pseudogene